rnacentral:rRNA from 1 species
AGUGAACGCUGGCGGUAGGCCUAACACAUGCAAGCCGAACGGCAGCACAGUAAGAGCUUGCUCUUACGGGUGGCGAGUGGCGGACGGGUGAGGAAUACAUCGGAAUCUACUUUUUCGUGGGGGAUAACGUAGGGAAACUUACGCUAAUACCGCAUACGACCUACGGGUGAAAGCAGGGGAUCUUCGGACCUUGCGCGAUUGAAUGAGCCGAUGUCGGAUUAGCUAGUUGGCGGGGUAAAGGCCCACCAAGGCGACGAUCCGUAGCUGGUCUGAGAGGAUGAUACGCCAAACUGGAACUGAGAGACGGUUCCGAAUCCUACGGGAGGCAGCAGUGGGGAAUAUUGGAAAAUGGGCGCAAGCCUGAUCCAGCCAUAACGCGUGGGUGAAGAAGGCCUUCGGGUUUUAAAGCCCUUUUGUUGGGAAAGAAAAGCAGCAGGUUAAUACCCCGCUGUUCUGACGGUACCCAAAGAAUAAGCACCGGCUAACUUCGUG